CGGGGUGAGUAACGCGUGGAUAACCUGCCUCACACUGGGGGAUAACAGUUAGAAAUGACUGCUAAUACCGCAUAAGCGCACAGUACCGCAUGGUACAGUGUGAAAAACUCCGGUGGUGUGAGAUGGAUCCGCGUCUGAUUAGCCAGUUGGCGGGUAACGGCCCACCAAAGCGACGAUCAGUAGCCGACCUGAGAGGGUGACCGGCCACAUUGGGACUGAGACACGGCCCAA
rnacentral:rRNA from 1 species